rnacentral:rRNA from 1 species
UACGGAGGAUGCGAGCGUUAUCCGGAUUUAUUGGGUUUAAAGGGUGCGUAGGCGGUCCGUUAAGUCAGCGGUAAAAUUGCGGGGCUCAACCCCGUCGAGCCGUUGAAACUGGCAGACUUGAGUGGGCGAGAAGUACGCGGAAUGCGCGGUGUAGCGCUGAAAUGCAUAGAUAUCGCGCAGAACUCCGAUUGCGAAGGCAGCGUACCGGCGCCAGACUGACGCUGAGGCACGAAAGCGUGGGGAUCGAACAGG